GCUAGGAUGAACGCUAGCGACAGGCCUAACACAUGCAAGUCGAGGGGCAGCACAAGGAGCAAUCUGAGGUGGCGACCGGCGCACGGGUGAGUAACACGUAUGCAACCUGCCUGUAAGCGGGGAAUAACCCGUUGAAAGACGGACUAAUACCGCAUAAUACUAAAUUACUGCAUGGUAAUUUAUUUAAACAUUUAUGGCUUACAGAUGGGCAUGCGCAUGAUUAGCUAGUUGGAGAGGUAACGGCUCCCCAAGGCAACGAUCAUUAGGGGUUCUGAGAGGAAGGUCCCCCCACACUGGUACUGAGACACGGACCAGACUCCUACGGGAGGCAGCAGUGAGGAAUAUUGGUCAAUGGACGAGAGUCUGAACCAGCCAAGUCGCGUGCAGGAAGAAUUGUCCUAUGGAUUGUAAACUGCUUUUGCAGGGGAAUAAAGUGCAUCACGUGUGAUGUUUUGUAUGUACUCUGCGAAUAAGGAUCGGCUAACUCCGUGCCAGCCGCGGC
rnacentral:rRNA from 1 species